CGCAAGCAUCUAAGCACACAUUUGCGGUAUUCCACCAUUGCAAGCUUUCCCACUGCAGUUUGGAAUUGUUGACAAACAGACGGUCAGGAUGUGCUCCCGCCAUGACAGAGGAUGCUCUCAUGACAAUGAUUGCAACAGAGGGAGGAGCUCCUGCCAUGAGGAUAGAGGUUAUUGCUGUGACAGAAACAAUCCAACUUUCACAGUUACGACCAUACCGGUGCUGCAGGAUCAGAACCCUGUCACCCAGAGCCAGAAGCAGUGCCCCGUGGUUUAUUCCACUCCCCAGCUCCAACAACCUCAACAGCUCAAGCAGCCUGUUCCAUAUCCUCCCCAACAGCUGAAGCAGCCACCACAACAGCUGAAGAAGUAGGAGAGCAAAACAUGGAGGAAACACUGCAAGGCAAUGCAUCUGGAAGCCAGCAAUUCGUUCCUGUUCAAUUUCCUGCUUAUGCAAAAAAAAAAAAAAAAAAAAAAUUAUUUGAUUGGCAUUGAAAUUCUCCCGCUUCUUAUCCUGCUUGAUAUAGGAUUUGUACACACUAACCUCUUUGAUGCUUUGAUCAGCAGCAAGCAUUAAAUAGCAUGAAUCUGUAUUUGA